rnacentral:rRNA from 1 species
GGGUUCUGCAUGUCUAGUAUAGCACUUUAUACUGUGAAACUGCGAAUGGCUCAUUAAAUCAGUUAUCGUUUAUUUGAUAGUACCUUACUACAUGGAUACCUGUGGUAAUUCUAGAGCUAAUACAUGCUAAAAACCCCGACUUCGGAAGGGGUGUAUUUAUUAGAUAAAAAACCAAUGCCCUUCGGGGCUCCUUGGUGAUUCAUAAUAACUUAACGAAUCGCAUGGCCUUGCGCCGGCGAUGGUUCAUUCAAAUUUCUGCCCUAUCAACUUUCGAUGGUAGGAUAGUGGCCUACCAUGGUGGCAACGGGUAACGGGGAAUUAGGGUUCGAUUCCGGAGAGGGAGCCUGAGAAACGGCUACCACAUCCAAGGAAGGCAGCAGGCGCGCAAAUUACCCAAUCCCGACACGGGGAGGUAGUGACAAUAAAUACUGAUACGGGGCUCUUUCGGGUCUCGUAAUUGGAAUGAGUACAAUCUAAAUCCCUUAACGAGGAACAAUUGGAGGGCAAGUCUGGUGCCAGCAGCCGCGGUAAUUCCAGCUCCAAUAGCGUAUAUUAAAGUUGUUGCAGUUAAAAAGCUCGUAGUUGAACCUUGGGUCUGGCUGGCCGGUCCGCCUCACCGCGAGUACUGGUCCGGCUGGACCUUUCCUUCUGGGGAAUCCCAUGGCCUUCACUGGCUGUGGGGGGAACCAGGACUUUUACUGUGAAAAAAUUAGAGUGUUCAAAGCAGGCCUUUGCUCGAAUACAUUAGCAUGGAAUAAUAGAAUAGGACGUGCGGUUCUAUUUUGUUGGUUUCUAGGACCGCCGUAAUGAUUAAUAGGGAUAGUCGGGGGCGUCAGUAUUCAGCUGUCAGAGGUGAAAUUCUUGGAUUUGCUGAAGACUAACUACUGCGAAAGCAUUCGCCAAGGAUGUUUUCAUUAAUCAGGGAACGAAAGUUAGGGGAUCGAAGACGAUCAGAUACCGUCGUAGUCUUAACCAUAAACUAUGCCGACUAGGGAUCGGGCGGUGUUUCUAUGAUGACCCGCUCGGCACCUUACGAGAAAUCAAAGUUUUUGGGUUCUGGGGGGAGUAUGGUCGCAAGGCUGAAACUUAAAGAAAUUGACGGAAGGGCACCACAAGGCGUGAAGCCUGCGGCUUAAUUUGACUCAACACGGGGAAACUCACCAGGUCCAAACAAAUAAGGAUUGACAGAAUGGAAACUCUUUCUGAUCUUUGGAUGGGGGGCAUGCCGUUCUUAAUUGGGGGAAGGAUUGUCUGCUUAUUGCAAUAACAAACGAACCUCGCCCUAAAAACCCGGUCCCAUUUGGGGGCCCUGUUUUCUUAGGGAAAAUUGCCCCCGCCAUAGAAAAACCCCAAAAAA